GAUGAGCAUGCGUCCCAUUAGCUAGUUGGUAAGGUAACGGCUUACCAAGGCUACGAUGGGUAGGGGUCCUGAGAGGGAGAUCCCCCACACUGGUACUGAGACACGGACCAGACUCCUACGGGAGGCAGCAGUGAGGAAUAUUGGACAAUGGGCGCAAGCCUGAUCCAGCCAUGCCGCGUGCAGGAUGACGGUCCUAUGGAUUGUAAACUGCUUUUGUACGGGAAGAAACACUCCUUCGUGAAGGAGCUUGACGGUACCGUAAGAAUAAGGAUCGGCUAACUCCGUGCCAGCAGCCGCGGUAAUACGGAGGAUCCAAGCGUUAUCCGGAAUCAUUGGGUUUAAAGGGUCCGUAGGCGGUUUAGUAAGUCAGUGGUGAAAGCCCAUCGCUCAACGGUGGAAUGGCCAUUGAUACUGCUAGACUUGAAUUAUUAGGAAGUAACUAGAAUAUGUAGUGUAG
rnacentral:rRNA from 1 species